rnacentral:rRNA from 1 species
UCCAGACUCCUACGGGAGGCAGCAGUGGGGAAUAUUGCACAAUGGGGGAAACCCUGAUGCAGCAACGCCGCGUGGGUGAAGGAGCGUUUCGGCGCGUAAAGCCCUGUCAGCGGGGAAGAAGAAAGACGGUACCCGACCAAGAAGCCCCGGCUAACUACGUGCCAGCAGCCGCGGUAAUACGUAGGGGGCGAGCGUUAUCCGGAAUUACUGGGUGUAAAGGGAGCGUAGACGGCGAGGUAAGCCUGAAGUGGAAGCCCGCGGCCCAACCGCGGAACUGCUUUGGGAACUGUUUUGCUGGAGUAUGGGAGGGGUAAGCGGAAUUCCUGGUGUAGCGGUGAAAUGCGUAGAUAUCAGGAAGAACUCCGAUUGCGAAGGCAGCUUACUAAACUGCCACUGACAUUGAUGCUCGAAAGUGUGGGUAUCAAACAGGAUUAGAUACCCUCGUAC